UACGGGGGGGGGCAAGCGUUGUUCGGAAUUACUGGGCGUAAAGGGCGCGUAGGCGGUUCGCUAAGUUGAAUGUGAAAACUCUGGGCUUAACCCAGAGCCUGCAUUCAAUACUGGCGGGCUAGAGUUCUGGAGGGGAUAGCGGAAUUCCUGGUGUAGCGGUGAAAUGCGUAGAUAUCGGGAGGAACACCUGUGGCGAAAGCGGCUCACUGGACCACAACUGACGCUGAGGCGCGAAAGCUAGGGGAGCAAACAGG
rnacentral:rRNA from 1 species